rnacentral:sRNA from 1 species
CCAUAGACAUCAUCUUAAGGCUCAUCAUGUUGUAAGUGACAUGGAGAGAAAGAAAGUGUGCAGCAUGAUGGACUGUCAGAAAUUAUCUCGAGAGGCAUGUGCACAUGCUACACAGAAUGACCGACUACCUGUCCAAACCGUGGUUCAAGUUCUCUAUUACGAAUAGCAAAGGCUUCGUGAUGCUAUGAAUGGCAACGGAAGUGGGGAAUCUUCGGUUCAUUCCAAACUGAACGUAUAUUACUCUGAACGUCUGUAGACGGAUGUCCGUAGACAAAUUUUAACGAAG